GUUUACCUCGCGCGGGGGAGAGAGGAAGGGACGCUGUGCUCCGUGCUUCGCCUUGUUAUCCUUGCUAUCCACGUGCCCCCCCUUGUUAUCCUCGUGCUCCCGGCCUUGUAGCGGUGCCGUGGCGGGGCGUGUAGGCGUUGACAUCACUCACGGUCAUCGGCACUGCCCAUACACUCAGUCCACCCUGGCGGGGACCUCACCAAUGACCUCCAUGAAAACAGGGUCCCAGACAAGCCAGUUGGUCUGAAGGCCGUGGCGCUGACUGACCACAUCAGGGUGUGCUGGCAGCCCCCCGCACAGCACAAUGUGAUGCUGUGCGGCUACACCAUUGCCUGGGACUGAGGCGUGGCGGACAUCUACUCCAAGAUCGUGGACAGCAAGCAGCACGGUUACAUCAUUGAUAAGCUGGAACCCAACAUGGAGCUUGUGAUAAGCCUGCGAGCCUUCAACAACGUGGGUGACGGGCAACCGGUGUACCAGCAAGUCCGCACCCAGCCAGAGGUGGUGGCACCCACGCUGGACCCAGCGGUGUGGGUGAAGGCCGUGGUGCUGACGCCCUUCACCGUGGUGCUGCAGUGGGCGGACACCAUGCUGAGCCAGAACCAGUACAACAGCUGCACCACCUUCUCGUCCUCAUCCUCCAGCCGCUACGUCAACGCCACGGAUGUGACCUGCCUCAUUGACAGCCUCAAGCCAUCAACAGUGUGUGAGUUUGCUGUGAAGACCAUCAGGGUGAGACCACAGUGCUGGAAGCCUUCGUUCUUCUUUCAGUAAAUAUUCACUCAGUCCUGCAACACUUCUCAAGGAAAUCCUGCACAGCUGAAUCCUUGCUGUGAUGAGGCACAGAGAAAUUAUGACUCAUAGGGUUUGGCGUGAGUCCCCCUAUAGCCUGGUGGCCUCCAACACCCUGCUGGUGGCCUGGCCGUCCUGGCCCUCCCUGGCCAGCCGUCCACCACCACCUUCACCCGGCAGCCGCUGCAGCGGAACAAUGGGAGGAUCACAGGCUACGUGAUAUUCCUCACCAUGGACCAAACUGUCGGUGACUGGGUGAUGGGGGAUGUGACGGGGGACUGGCUCACUCUCACCGUCCAUGGACUGACGCCUUCAAGGAAGUAUUUGCACAAGAUGCACACUCACAAUGUCAAAGGUUUUGGUCCAUUCUCCUCCGUGGAAAGCUUCACGACUUCCAGCUGUUGACAAGAGCAUCGGUGAGCCCCCAGGCUGGUGUGUGGAGCGAGAGGCCUGAUUGUGCUGGUGAUCGCUGGCGUGGCAGGAGCCAUGACCAGCUGGGGGCCUUCUUGGCCACCACGCUGUACUGCCGCGGGUCAAGGCGGAGCCCAGGCCAAGCAUUGUUCUUGGCGGCAGCUGCAGUGAGAGCAACAAGCCUGGCGUCCAGCCUCCAGACCUGUGGAUCCAUCACGGCCACUUGGAGCUGAAGAACUUUGACAAGGGUGAGCGCAGCAACUCCCCCAACCACGCCUCCAUCAUCCAGCACACAGGAGUCGCGUCACAUCACAAUGGGACCGAAAAAGGACGAGAAGGGACAAGACAAGAAGAAAAGAUCUUCUGCUGCCUCUCCUGAUGAUGAUGAGCAACAAGAAGACACUCAAGAACAACCUGCCAAGAAAGUGAAGGGACGAUCCAAGAAGAGGUCAUUGUCUGCUACCGGGGAGACACCCCCUCCUCCAUCCCUCUUGCGUCACCAAUCCACUUGGACACAGAGCCCCAACCUGGUCAUGAUGAUGCUGGGUGUGUCUUUUGCUCAAAAUCGGGAGCAAAUUCUUGGAGGAGAUUUGAAACUCGUAGUAGAUCCGGAGUUAUCGGUGUAGUUUGUCGUACAUUGUAGUACUUCGUACUUACAAAUCGGGACAGUUGGUGUGGUUCGUGAUACUUCGUAGUACUUCUGCUCCAAAACUCGGCGUACUUCGGGAGAAAAUCAGGGUGAAAUCAUAGUACAUCGUAGCAUAUUGUAGUACGUCGUAGCACUUUGGGAAAUAAUUCGGUGUACUUCGGGGAAUAUGCCCUCGAGGUCGACCGAACGCCUCGAGAUGAAAAGAUAAACAAAUUUUCGUAGUGAUUCGGGGAAAACGCUGUCUCCCGAGGUACUACGAUUUUUUUGUGAUUCGGCGUCUGUGAGACCGGGGGGGGCGCGGCAGGUCCCUGGUACCCCCGCCUGGUUCAUGGCCACCUCGCACAAGACCAAGGUUGUCGCAAAGAACAUAUCCAGAAUUGCACUCAUUUCCGAGGAGGCGACGAAAUACACGGCACAACAUCCUCCUCCUCCUCCUCCUCCUCCUCCCCCUCCUCUUUCUCCUCCUCCUCCUCCUCUUCUUCCUCCUCCUCCUCCUCUCCACCCCCUCCUUCUCUUAUUCCUCUUCCUUCUCAAAUUCACUCAUGCUAACCAACAGUCCUCCUCCUCCUCCUCCUCCUCCACCUCCUCCUCCUCCUCCUCCUCCUCCUCCUCCUCCUUCUCCUCUUCACCCCCUCCUCCUCUUAUUCCUCUUUCUUCUUCUCAAAUUCACUCAUGCUAACCAACCCUCCUCCUCCUCCUCCUCCUCCUCCUCCUCUUU